AAAUUGUAUAGGCUUAAUUCACAUAUAGUGAAGCGGGGGAACCAAUUUUUUGGGGCGAAUUCCUUUCUAAAAGGAUAGGGUAACUCUUUCAGCCCGAGCCCGGCAGCUAACCUCGUAGGCCUUGAAAGAGGGGUAUA
rnacentral:sRNA from 2 species